CCCUUCUCAGGGUCGUACCUGGAGAGUUUCCAGUCCUCUACCAGUCUCGGCUACGAGAGGGAGAGUGAAGCCGAGGCCUGUCCAUUCCAUUCCUAGCUUGGCCGGUGGCUAGCGAGUGGAAGGCCAUCGGCUACAAGU